GAGGUGUUGGCAUUCAUGGGAAAAAGGGUUUAAUGUUUUACCUUCAGUUUCUUUCUCUUGUGUUGUUUAACGAAAACCAGGUCCAAGCAACACAUAGAGCAAAAAUAUGAAGGCUCUUGUAGAUGCUUUUCUUGGAAGGAAAUUCAAGACCUCCAGAUUCAAUAUUCUUGCAAAACUUGCAAUCUCCAGGAUUGCCAUCCUCAGGAACCAGAGACAAGUCCGGUAUUCCCAUGCAAAGUCUGACGUUAUUGAGCUCUUGAACCUUGCUCAUCAAGAACGAGCUCUUCUUCGUGUUGAGCAUGUGAUCAAGGAGCAAAAUAUGAUGGACGUGUUUGCUAUGAUCGAGGACUAUUGCUACCUUCUCAUAGAUAGGGUUAUGCUACUUAAGAAGGACAAGUUAGUUUCUUGAUUUCUUUUAGUUACAAUUUCUUUGGUAAUAUUGAAUUCCAUGAAUGGGCUUGUUCUUACAUAGGGAAUGCCCUGAUGAGCUCAAGGAGGCAAUUUCCAGCUUGAUCUUUGCAUCUUCUAGAUGUGGGGAAUUUCCAGAGCUGCAAGAGAUUCGUGGAAUUUUCGUAUCAACAUUUGGGAAAGAAUUUGCUGCUCGUGCUAUUGAGUUGCGCAACAACUGUGGAGUGAAUCCUAAGGUAAAGUAUGAAGAUAUAGAGCAGUUUGCUUGUAUUUUUGUUCUCACCAUUAGUAUUUCUUUUAUUUAGAUCAUACAAAAGCUUUCAGCAGGACAACCAAGCUUGGAAAGCAGAUUGAAAGUCCUGAAGAACACUGCUUCUGAGAAUGGUAUUGUCUUGAAUUUGGCGGAAGAUGCUCCUGUUGUUACUGAGGAGAAAUUGGAUGUCAGCCAGAAGCAGCAGCGACAAGAAUCUUAUAAAUCAGCUAAAUUGAAAGAUACUGUACCCAAGGAAGAAACCCAUAUUUUGCCUGAGUUGAACCCAGAUGAGCAGUUAACUGAAAAAUUGAAAGCAAGAAAGAAGUACAGAGAUGUUACUGCUGCUGCUCUAGAGGCCUUUGAAUCAGCUUCUUAUGCAGCAGCAGCUGCAAGAGCUGCUGUUGCACUUUCAAGAUCCGAAUCUCAGGACACUGAUUAAGAUUAUCACAGUGGUUAUAGCCAUCUGGGAAGAACCAAGUAUGACUUAGAUGACACACAAAACUCCAAUAAUGCAUUGAUAUUUGAAAAAAUCCAUCCAAAUGACUAUACCAGCUCUGAAUCAGAAGGUGAAUAUCAUCUCAAAGAAUUGAGAAGGAGCAAAAAUAAGCCUGGGGUAAUAGAUAGGACGCCAUCCACUUCAAGUUCAGAUUCUGACAGGAACAUUCCGUCACCAAAUGACGUCCAAAAUAGUGGACACUACAAUGCAGUUGGAGACGUAUAUAGAUCAUAUGAGGACAGGAAAAAGUCUCCUUACAGAUCCCCAAAGUGAAUUCUACUGAAAUUUCAAGUUGAUUCCAUGGUAAAUCCCAUGAAAGGAAAAUCUAAGUUGAAAGGCACACAUAGGGCACAUUUCACAGAGCAAUUAAAUUCACAGCACUAGGGCUGGACAGGAGGCCAUUAUCAAUGAGAACUAGGAGAGACAGAGGCAGUAAAAAGUAAAUAUGGUAAGUGCAAAAUUUGUUUUUCUUGGUUUUAGAGGUUCAAUGUCAACACAUUUCUGUUUUCUUUUUCAUUUUCAUUUAUAUAAAUAAUCUGAUGACGUAUAGUUGAGUACUGAAAUAAAGAUUUAAAUCUCUGUACAAGUGCUAAAUAAGGAUAAUGAAGCAGGAAUCUUGACUGACAAAAAUAAGUGUAGAAUUUUAUAAUAAUUAAUCUUCAGACUGCAUAAGUAUUGGUUUCAAUCUGAUAAUACAAAACCAACAAUUAAAGUUGUGAUUUAGUUCACUUCUGUAAACGCGUAUUUAUUGUACAUAUUGUGUGUAAUCUCUUGAUGAAAUAAAAAUGCACUACGUUUUUG
rnacentral:misc_RNA from 1 species